UUGGAGGGCAAGUCUGGUGCCAGCAGCCGCGGUAAUUCCAGCUCCAAUAGCGUAUAUUAAAGUUGUUGCAGUUAAAAAGCUCGUAGUUAAAUUUCGGGAUUAGUGCGCCGGUCGUGCCUUCGGUAUGUACUGGUGUUACUGGUUCCUACCUUCUGACGAACCGUCAUGUCAUUAAUUUGGUGUGGCGGGGAAUCAGGACUGUUACUUUGAAAAAAUUAGAGUGUUUAAAGCAGGCUCGCGCUUGAAUACAUUAGCAUGGAAUAAUGAAAUAGGACGUUCGAUCCUAUUUUGUUGGUUUCUAGGAUUGACGUAAUGAUUAAUAGGGAUAGUUGGGGGCAUUAGUAUUCAAUUGUCAGAGGUGAAAUUCUUGGAUUUAUUGAAGACUAACUACUGCGAAAGCAUUUGCCAAGGAUGUUUUCAUUAAUCAAGAACGAAAGUUAGGGGAUCGAAGACGAUCAGAUACCGUCGUAGUCUUAACCAUAAACUAUGCCGACUAGGGAUCGGAUGAUGUUAUUUUUAAUGACUCAUUCGGCGCCUUACGGGAAA
rnacentral:rRNA from 1 species